CCUUUAGUUCACUCAGAACUCAGAUGGAAUCAUAUUACUUUCAUUUUCAGAUCAGAUGAAAAAUAAAGGAGAGUAUGUGAACCAGCCACAAGCCAAGUUCAGGCUUGUGUCACAUGUUUUCCAGGAAACCAUUCUUAUUCUAAUAGGGUAAACUCUGUCCGAAAGAGGCAAGUAGGGAAAGCAGCCACCCAAACGCCAUUUCCUGAUCCUGGCCACCAGACACAGAGCUUCGUUGUGAUCGAGCAGAGUCGCCUCCUUGCCCGGGAGUGGGAAGCUCUCACCUGCCAAGAAGAUGGGUCAAGAAGUGUCCACAAUGACUUUUUCAGUGGUAGUGCCUGACGUUUCUAUGGCACUGUCCUUCUCGGGACCUGUGGUGUGGCUCCUUGCCGGGGCAGUGGUUGUACUUCUCCUUGGUGGCGUCACUUAUUUCGUAGUGCAGCAUGUGAGGAAGGAGAAUAUGAAAGACUCCAAUAAAAUGAACUAACAACAGGGGAAGGCCACCCUUACGAGACUGUAUUUGGAAAAAAUAAAAAUAAAAAUCAAUGUGGGCCGGGGAUUUAGCUCAGUGGUUCCGUCACCUG